rnacentral:rRNA from 1 species
GACGUAGGGCGCGAGCGUUGUCCGGAUUAUUGGUGCGUAAAGGGCUCGUAGGCGGUGUGUCACGUCGGCCGUGAAAACCUGCAGCUUAACUGUGGGCGUGCGGUCGAUACGGGCAUCACUGGAGUUCGGCAGGGGAGACUGGAAUUCCUGGUGUAGCGGUGAAAUGCGCAGAUAUCAGGAGGGAACACCGGUGGCGAAGGCGGGUCUCUGGGCCGAUAACUGACGCUGGAGGCAACGAAAGCGUGGGGAGCAAACAGG